AUACUGGUCUGAUUUCUCUAGACCAGGAAAAGGCUUUUGACCGCGUUGAGCACAGCUUCCUCUGGAAGGUCAUGGGGAAGUUUGGGUUCAGCGCUGGUUUCAUAGCUAAGAUCAAAGUGUUGUACAGCGAGGUUGAGAGUGUGCUGAAGUUAAACGGUAGUCUGUGUGCUCCUUUUAGGGUGCGUAGAGGGGUCCGGCAGGGUUGUGCUAUGUCCGGAAUGCUCUAUGCACUCUCCCUGGAACCCCUUCUCAGCAGAAUACGCUCUAGCCUGGAGGGCUUGGUUUUACCUGGUUUUCGUAGGAACAUGUUUUUAUUAUUUAGGGAUGCGGACCUUUUAAACAGCGUGGUGGAGGAUUUUAGCAAGGCAUCGGCAGCGAGGGUGAACUGGAGGAAAAGCGAAGCCCUUGCCGUCUGUGAAUGGCGUGACGGCCUCCCGGUUCUUCCCCAAAGGGCCAAGCUGGACGUCAGCAGCAGCGUCACCCCUGGCCUGACGGGGGCGCUGCGAAAAACAAAAACAUUGUGCCUGCAGCAGCUGGUGGACGCAGUGGGGCCGACGCUGAGCGAUGCCCUGGCCCUGGGCUCACUGCUUGGGCUGCAUUCGGUCCGGGUGGCGGGGAGGCUCCUGGAGCUGUGGAGCCAAAGGCUGACUGGGGAAGAGAAGAGCCUCGUCACGGAAUACAGCCAGAAGAUGAUACCGGACCCUGCAGACCCGUUUCCAGAGAUCUACCUGAGUCCGGGGCUAGGGGACCUCACCGCCCCCCUGCUAGCCACGACACGCCCCGAUCAACUGACUUUACAUGAAGCGGGCAAAAAGACAUGGUAUUUUAACUGCGUGAAGGUCACAAACAGGACUGGACUGUGCAACAGGCUCCCCACUGUGUGGUCCAACAGACUUGGACAAAAUGGACCUGGCCCGCAGUGGAGGAUUUUAUACAAACCUCCCCUCAAAAAACGGACUGCCGACCUCCAGUGGAGAAUUUUACAUGUCUGUCCAGGCUCAUCACCACUGGAGGAGCGAAGUCCUGCGCGUCCCUGGUCCACUGGUUCGGACGUCUGACUGCCAGUUGCCCUCGGCUGCUGCUGCUGCUGCUUCUAGUGUGUCUGCUGCUAGUGGUGCGUCUGCUGCUACACUACACUGCUG
ensembl:lncRNA